rnacentral:tRNA from 1 species
AUCCAUAGCAUGGCUUAGUGGUACAGCGUCGCACUCGUACACCAAAUGCAAAUGCGAAGAUCCCUCGUUCGAUUCGGGGUGUGGGCA